AAAUGCAAUGUGAUCUAAGGU
rnacentral:miRNA from 1 species